AUGGCCGGCGGCGGCGACCACCCGGGCGCCAACAAGCGGAAGCGCGAGGCCGCGGGGAGGCCCAAGGCGCCCUCCAAGGGGGCCGGCCCCGGCGACGCCGCCAAGCGGAAGAAGACCUACGACGCCCCCGCCGCCAAGCCCAAGCCGCAGCCCGUCACCGCCAAGGAAAAGCGGGUCGCAGCCAAGGAAAUGUCCGAGUCCAGGAAGAUGAAGCGGAAGCCCAAUUACAACCUCGAGAAGGAACUCGCAGUACUAUGGGAAAAGAUGAGAUGUCGUGAUGUGAGCAAGGAGAAUAGAUCCAAGCUAGUAACCGAGGCUCUCCGUAAAAUGGAUGGCAAAUAUUUCGAAAUUGCUGGAUCCCAUGUAACCGCACGUGUUCUUCAAACAUGUGUCAAGUGGUGCUCACAGCCAGAGAGGGAUGCUGUUUUUGUUGCCCUGCAGCCACAUUUGCUCCAUCUUUCUCGCAAGAAAUACGCUGUUUUCCUUGUGAAGAAGCUCAUAAAACUUGCCACUAAAAAACAGCUUGCCUUGUUCAUCUCUUCCCUUCAUGGUCAUGUCGCUUCUCUACUUCGUCACACAAUAGGAGCCGCAGUUGUUGAUUGCACCUUUCAUCAGGCGACGCCGCCUCAGAAAAGAAGUUUGUUGUUGGAAUUGUACUCCACUGAGCUUCAGCUGUUCAAAGACUUGACUGAACAAAAAUCAUGCAGUUUGUUAGAAACAAUUUCCAAGCUUGGACUACAGAAAUCAUCUGUCCUGCAGUAUAUGACUACUGUUAUCCAGCCACUUUUGGAGAAGGGUAUUGUUGAGUAUUCCAUAGUUCACACGGUCAUAUUGGAGUACUUAACAAUUGCGGAUAAGACAUCAGCCUCGGACGUGAUUCGUCAGUUAAUCCCCCAUCUUACCCAAGGGUCAUCUGUCGUAGAUGGAGAUGAACUAUCAGGGGUCGCUGAAGUACCAACGAAAUCAAAAGCUAAGAAGAAAAGAUCUUCAGAACCACUUCUCAUUCGGAUCAUGCAGACGAGGGAAGGUUUAAAAAUAGGACUUGCUUGCCUCAAGCAUGGCAGUGCGAAGGAUAGGAAGAAAAUUAUCAAAAGCUUGAAGGGGCAGAAUAUGAAGCUUGCUCUUGGUGAUUAUGGAUGCCUUUUCCUUGCUUGUCUUCUCUCCAUUGUUGAUGACACAAAACUUGUUACUAAGGUUGUAAUUGAUGAGCUGACAAAUCAUUUAAAGGAACUCAUAUUUGACAAGAACGGGAGACGCCCAUUGCUGCAGCUACUUCACCCACUUUGCUCACGUUAUCUGACUCCGACUGAUUUGAAUUGUCUGAAGUACAGUGUGCCUUCCCUUGUUUCAAAGGAUGAGGCAUCAGAGAGUGCUACUAAAGUUAACUUGGAUAGUAAGUUGGAUGAUGUAGCUGACAAAGAACAUGGGGGUUCAGAAGACACACUGGUUGCAUCUGAUAGCAAGAAGGACCCGUUUAAACGGCGGCAAGAACUGUUGGUGAAAAGCGAGCUUUUUGAGGUUCUCAUCGAGACUUGCAUUGAAAAUGUUGGAGAGUUACUUAGAACAAACUUCGGCAAAGAUGUAUUAUACGAGGUUGCUGUAGGUGGAAAAAAUAAUGUCUUGGAGGGGGUCACCGACAGGGUCCACGUGCUUCACAAUGCUAUAGCUUCUGACGCAGCACGCCCGAGGACAGAAGAUGUUGAGCACGCCUUUGAUAACUACCACUCGAGCCGCGUAAUCAGAAAGAUGAUACUUGAUUGCCCUGAGUUUGCCGCUACCCUAUGGAAAAAAGCCCUCAAAGGGAAGUGCAAGUCAUUUGCAGAUGGAUUCAGCUCCAAGGUGGUGGCUGCCUAUCUGGAAUCUCCGGAUUCCAAGGUGAAGGAUCUUGCGAAAUCCGAGGUGCAGCUGCUCAUCGACGGUGGCAUACUGAAGAAUCCAGACCAUAAAGCAGCGGAGAAGAAGUGA
rnacentral:rRNA from 1 species